rnacentral:rRNA from 1 species
GACGAACGCUGGCGGCGUGCUUAACACAUGCAAGUCGAACGCUGAAGCACCAGCUUGCUGGUGUGGAUGAGUGGCGAACGGGUGAGUAAUACGUGAGUAACCUGCCCUUGACUCUGGGAUAAGCCCGGGAAACUGGGUCUAAUACUGGAUGCUACAUGUCACCGCAUGGUGGUGUGUGGAAAGGGUUUACUGGUCUUGGAUGGGCUCACGGCCUAUCAGCUUGUUGGUGAGGUAAUGGCUCACCAAGGCGACGACGGGUAGCCGGCCUGAGAGGGUGACCGGCCACACUGGGACUGAGACACGGCCCAGACUCCGACGGGAGGCAGCAGUGGGGAAUAUUGCACAAGGGGCGAAAGCCUGAUGCAGCGACGCCGCGUGAGGGAUGACGGCCUUCGGGUUGUAAACCUCGUUCAGCAGGGAAGAAGCCACAAGUGACGGUACCUGCAGAAGAAGCGCCGGCUAACUACGUG